GCCAGCAGAGGAAGCAAUAGAAGCCUCAGGCCUUUUAUGUACUGCACUGCAGUCAGCACUUCACUCGGCGCAGUGUGGGGACACCAGCUCCUGCCAAAAUCUAUCCAUGCCAAGGCCUGCCAGCUUGCUCUCCCCACCCACUCUAAGGGCCAGAGCGUGAGCGGUGGGGUGCCGGUAGGCGGGUGCAAGGUGAGGCUGGUGGGCGGGUGGCCAGGCUGGAGCUUCCUGACACGGGAACCCGCCUCACAGCAGGAUCAAGCGAGCUGCCGAGUGAAUCACUACCUCUCCCACAAACUGGAAAAAAAGCCGGUGCCGGGCCAACAAGCAGACACUUUCAGGAUGAGACAAAAACUAAAAAUACAGCAUUGAAAGCUUAAAUGCUAUGGUCUACACAAUCAAGGUGAAGACUGCUGACUUGGUGAGGUGAAGACUCCAGCAACACUUGAAAUACUGAGAGCCCAACCAACUUUAUUCAGAACAAGGGGUUUCUGCUUCUACCCUUCAUCAGGGACAACAAGCCAAAAUGUGCUGGUCUGUUAAUAAAGUUGGUUCCUCACUUUUUCAAUGCUGGAGUCUUCACCUCACCAGAUCUUUGUCUCUCUCCAUUCGCCUUCAACGUGGUUCAAUUUGUGCCAGAAACUGCUGACUCCUGUCUAAGGACACUGUUACCCUCCACAGGUGCCAGCCACAGAAAAGAAAUAUAUAAUAAAAUCGUGCCAGCAGCAAAAAUCUCCUGAACGGUUCAGGUUCAAGAGCAAACAUUUCAAGCAUUUUCAAACUGGUUGAGAAUUGCUUUGGAUUUGCUUUGGCAUUCCUCACCUGGAAGAAAUGCAGAGGGGAAUUUACACACUUUACCUGAAGAGAGCCCACGAGGAGCCAGGAGAAGGUUUGAGAUGAGCGCGGAGGUCAACAUUUCAGAGUGCUUUUUAUUUAUGUUUUAUCUCAUUUCGGCACUGGUAGAAAACACACUAGAAAGGAUCCACACAUACUCUCACUUUUAUUUAUUUUUUUAUUACUUUACGAAAAGUAUUUCAUAUUUUUAAGACGGUAAAAAACACAAGAGCUGAAACUUCUGUUCAUUUUAUGUUUUAAAUCACUGAAUGUCUUGAUUUAGAUAGCAUUCAGCAUUUGAAUUUAUGUGAAUUCUUAUUUAGUUAAAUAAUUUCAGUACAAGAACUUGAUUUUAACCAAAGAAAGGGCUUAAAGCAUGGACUAAUGAGCAAUUAUUUGAAAUAAAACAUUAUAUUGUUAGUGACCAGUUCAAAAAAUGUAUACUGAAAUCAUCUGAAUGAAAUAUAUUGUUGAAGAUCAUUGCUAAUUGUUUUUUUAAACCAUAUUACCCUCCAUAAUGCAUGUUUGCCCCAUGAACAGUUGUAGCUAAAGUGAGUAAAUGCUGAUUAACCAUUUGUGACACGCAAGGCUGCGUUCAUGACG